GACGAACCGUGCGAACGUUGUUCGGAAUCACUGGGCUUAAAGGGCGCGUAGGCGGGCCAGCAAGUCAGGGGUGAAAUCCCACGGCUCAACCGUGGAAGGGCCUUUGAUACUGCGGGCCUCGAGGGAGGUAGGGGCGUGCGGGAACUUCCGGUGGAGCGGUGAAAUGCGUAGAUAUCGGAAGGAACAUCGGUGGCGAAAGCGGCGCGCUGGACCUCUUCUGACGCUGAGGCGCGAAAGCCAGGGGAGCAAACGGG
rnacentral:rRNA from 1 species